GACGAACGCUGGCGGCGCGCCUAACACAUGCAAGUCGAACGAGCGAGAGAGAGCUUGCUUUCUCAAGCGAGUGGCGAACGGGUGAGUAACGCGUGAGGAACCUGCCUCAAAGAGGGGGACAACAGUUGGAAACGACUGCUAAUACCGCAUAAGCCCACGACCCGGCAUCGGGUAGAGGGAAAAGGAGCAAUCCGCUUUGAGAUGGCCUCGCGUCCGAUUAGCUAGUUGGUGAGGUAACGGCCCACCAAGGCGACGAUCGGUAGCCGGACUGAGAGGUUGAACGGCCACAUUGGGACUGAGACACGGCCCAGACUCCUACGGGAGGCAGCAGUGGGGAAUAUUGCACAAUGGGGGAAACCCUGAUGCAGCGACGCCGCGUGGAGGAAGAAGGUCUUCGGAUUGUAAACUCCUGUUGUUGAGGAAGAUAAUGACGGUACUCAACAAGGAGGUGACGGCUAACUACGUG
rnacentral:rRNA from 1 species